rnacentral:rRNA from 1 species
ACGAACGCUGGCGGCGUGCUUAACACAUGCAAGUCGAACGGAAAGGCCCUGCUUUUGUGGGGUGCUCGAGUGGCGAACGGGUGAGUAACACGUGAGUAACCUGCCCUUGACUUUGGGAUAACUUCAGGAAACUGGGGCUAAUACCGGAUAGGAGCUCCUGCUGCAUAGUGGGGGUUGGAAAGUUUCGGCGGUUGGGGAUGGACUCGCGGCUUAUCAGCUUGUUGGUGGGGUAGUGGCUUACCAAGGCUUUGACGGGUAGCCGGCCUGAGAGGGUGACCGGCCACAUUGGGACUGAGAUACGGCCCAGACUCCUACGGGAGGCAGCAGUGGGGAAUAUUGCACAAUGGGCGGAAGCCUGAUGCAGCAACGCCGCGUGCGGGAUGACGGCCUUCGGGUUGUAAACCGCUUUCGCCUGUGACGAAGCGUGAGUGACGGUAAUGGGUAAAGAAGCAUCGGCUAACUACGUG